AUUGAACGCUGGCGGCAGGCCUAAUACAUGCAAGUCGAACGAGGGGCGGACGGGUGAGCAAUGUCUGGGAAACUGCCUGAUGGAGGGGGAUAACUACUGGAAACGGUAGCUAAUACCGCAUACCAACAGAUGGGCCGAGAGGGGAUGUGCUUGUGGGUGGGGUAACGGCGCACCAAGGCGACGCGCCCUAGCUGGUCUGAGAGGAUGACCAGCCACACUGGAACUGAGACACGGUCCAGACUCCUACGGGAGGCAGCAGUGGGGAAUAUUGGACAAUGGGCGCAAGCCUGAUGCAGCCAUGCCGCGUGUGUGAAGAAGGCCUUCGGGUUGUAAAGUACUUUCAGCGGGGAGGCGUUACCCGCAGAAGAAGCACCGGCUAACUCCGUGCCAGCAGCCGCGGUAAUUC
rnacentral:rRNA from 1 species